rnacentral:rRNA from 1 species
UUUGGUAGUAAUAUCCGAUUAUUUAGUGGCGAACGGGUGCGUAACACGUGGGUGACAUGCCGGGAAGCGAGGGAUAGCCCAGGGAAACUUGGAUUAAUACCUCAUGUGGUCGAGAGACUAAAGGCGCAAGCCGCUUCCUGAUUGGCCCGCGGCCUAUCAGCUAGUUGGUGAGGUAAAGGCUCACCAAGGCUACGACGGGUAGCUGGUCUUAGAGGACGACCAGCCACACUGGAACUGAGACACGGUCCAGACACCUACGGGUGGCAGCAGUCGAGAAUCUUUCACAAUGGGGGCAACCCUGAUGGAGCGACGCCGCGUGGAGGAUAAGGUCUUCGGAUUGUAAACUCCUGUCAUGCGAGAGCAAAGCCUGUAAAGGUCUGAUAGUAUCGCAAGAGGAAGAGACGGCUAACUCUGUGCCAGCAGCCGCGGUAAUACAGAGGUCUCAAGCGUUGUUCGGAAUCACUGGGCGUAAAGGGUGCGUAGGCGGUGCGGAAAGUCAGAUGUGAAAUCCGGAGGCUUAACCUCCGAAUUGCAUCCGAUACUACCGCGCUAGAGAACUGAAGGGGAGUCUGGAAUUCUCGGUGUAGCAGUGAAAUGCGUAGAUAUCGAGAGGAACACUAGUGGCG